rnacentral:sRNA from 1 species
UUUGAUUUUUAUUCUGGUCGGGCUGUGACCCGUUUCUCUGUUGAGGACCAAUGACUGAUUACAUAAAUGGUAAAUAAGUCGCGAAUCUGGAAUAUUAUCAGUACAACAAGCAACAAGCAGGGCCACCAUGUGAGCUUAAUAAGUGUAAAAGAUCAAUGCCCAAGUCGUUUAAAUAGUUAUGGACGCUAGCUACGGAGGUAGUUCAUGUAAUGAUGUACCCUCUAACAUAAACUCACAAUCCCUUUCUAAGUAAUUAGAGACGAAACAUGGUAAAUGCAUUUCCAUGCGUUUUUCAAAAUGAUGCUUUUUACUUGUUGAUCGGGUUAACUUUCAAUGACGCCAUCAGUGAUUUCAGAAGUGGAGUUUUGCAACAGCUAAAGAUAACGUCCAAAAAGAUCAAGAAAAAGAAUGUAAGGGCCAUCAGUAUUUCGCCAUGUGCCGACUGUGUAAAGGAAGCUAUCGUUCGUGUGUUUUCCUACCAUGUUGUCACAUUUUGUUUUGUUGGAUCUGUGGACAACAUUUCAUAAGCUGCGAUGAGUGUCAAUCGGUGGUGAACAAGCGGAUGCAUGUGGCAAUGGGAAGGUCCUCGCCAAAUUAACUCUUUUAUGAAGAAAGCUUACAUAGGCAUUGCCUUCUGCCUAAUGCAUUUAUGUAAAUAAAUAUUUGCAUAAUAAACUCUAUAUGUAUCGGAUCCUUGAAAAUCAUAUGCUAAACAACUUUCAACAAAAACAGAUCAUCUUUCCUCAUAAGUUCUAAGUUCCAGGUUGUCAUUACGAUAUCAAAUGAUUCUAUAGAUAAAUGUAUAAAAAAAAAUUAACCUACAAUAAUGUUAUAUUUGGAGAUACAUUGUAGUUUUGUGCAUUGUAUAAUCAUGAAAUAAAGCGAACAAUAAAAACAAAACAAAAAC